UAAAAGCCUACCAAGGCAACGAUCGGUAGCUGGACUGAGAGGAUGUACAGCCCGCUGGUGUUGAGAACGGACCAUCCUCCUACGGGGGGCAGCAAUGAGGAAUUUUCCGUACUGGACGAAAGUCUGACGGAUCAACGCCGCGUGCAGGACGACUCUUUUAGCAGUGUAAACUGCUUUUCCCAGGGAAGAGAGCGGACGGCUCCUGGGGAAGAAGCCCCGGAUAACUACCUGCCAGCAGCCGCGGUAAUACGUACGGGGCGAGCGUUGUCCGGAGUUACUGGGCGUAAAGGGCAUGCAGGCGGUCGUCCGCGUUUUGUGUGACAGCGGGUGGCUCAACUACCUCGAGUAUGCCAAAGACUGUACUACUUGAGGGCUCGAGAGGAACACGGAACUCCUGGUGGGGUGGAGAAAAUG
rnacentral:rRNA from 1 species